UAGUCCACACAGUAAACGAUGAAUACUCGCUGUUUGCGAUAUACGGCAAGCGGCCAAGCGAAAGCAUUAAGUAUUCCACCUGGGGAGUACGCCGGCAACGGUGAAACUCAAAGGAAUUGACGGGGGCCCGCACAAGCGGAGGAACAUGUGGUUUAAUUCGAUGAUACGCGAGGAACCUUACCCGGGCUUAAAUUGCAACUGACGGAUUUGGAAACAGAUCUUCCUUCGGGCAGUUGUGA
rnacentral:rRNA from 1 species